rnacentral:lncRNA from 1 species
AAUUGAAAUUUUAUUAGAAAAGAAAGCCUAAAAGAACCCUUGAAAGCACAUGGAAGCGAACUAAUGGCCGAGCCUCGUUAAAACCUCAAAGAGAGAAAAAAGAGUACUCGUCCAACAGAACAGUAAAAAAAACUCGGGAAAAAAGAAAAAGAAAAGGCCAACACAAAGUGAGCUUCGGACUAACCAUCACCCACCUCAUAUUGGCCCAACAAACUUGCACCAAAAUCCCACAAGAUAUGAAGCUCCGGACUAACCAUUGCCCCAUGCUAAGCCAAAUAAAUGUCGCAAGAGAACACCACCACGGAACAGAACAAGAGGGAAAAAGAAUCACACAAAAAACAUGAAAAAACCAGCAUACUGACCCAACCAAAACAAGCAAACUCACGUCCCAAAAACUAUGAAAAU